UAGGGAAUCUUCGGCAAUGGACGGAAGUCUGACCGAGCAACGUCGCGUGAGUGAAGAAGGUUUUCGGAUCGUAAAGCUCUGUUGUUAGAGAAGAACGCUGGUAGGAGUGGAAAAUCUACCAAGUGACGGUAACUAACCAGAAAGGGACGGCUAACUACGUGCCAGCAGCCGCGGUAAUACGUAGGUCCCGAGCGUUGUCCGGAUUUAUUGGGCGUAAAGCGAGCGCAGGCGGUUCUUUAAGUCUGAAGUUAAAGGCAGUGGCUUAACCAUUGUACGCUUUGGAAACUGAAGGACUUGAGUGGAGAAGGGGAGAGUGGAAUUCCAUGUGUAGCGGUGAAAUGCGUAGAUAUAUAGAGGAACACCGGUGGCGAAAGCGGCUCUCUGGUCUGUAUCAGACGCUGAGGCUCGAAAGCGUGGGGAGCAAACAGG
rnacentral:rRNA from 1 species